ensembl:lncRNA
GAGAGAGAGAUUGAGGUUGGGGUGAGUAAGAGACAGAGAGAGGUAGAGAGAUUUCCUUCCUUGGUGCGGUCCUAUCUGUUCCAUCUAGUAUCUGGUGCACACCAUCAGUAUACACUAUGAACGUGUGCCAUCAGAAAUGGGCAGUGUGGCCGCUGUGGUGGCUCUCGCUGUCGAAGCUCAUAGGCGAGGUUUAAAUCAGUUGUGGUUGUUUUUUCGUACAAAAACUCAUCCGACUAGCAGAGAUACAUUAUGGUGGGUUGCAGAACAACAGAUUGUGUGUCUGCAUACCAGGGACUGUGGUGGGAAGUGGCUGAACUACAGCCCAUUAAAAACUCAACAGUCGCUGAUGUUCCUCUUUAGUAUUUACAAUCCAGAGACAGGUCCUUAUGCAUGUAGGGGUUACACUGUGAAUACAGAUACAGGUCAUGUAGGGGGUUAGACAGUGAAUACAGAGACAGGUCAUUAAGGAGCAUGUAGGGGUUAGACAGUGAAUACAGAGACAGGACAUUAAGGAGCAGGUAGGGGUUAGACAGUGAAUACAGAGACAGGUCAUUAAGGAGCAGGUAGGGGUUAGACAGUGAACACAGAGACAGGUCAUUAAGGAGCAGGUAGGGGUUAGACAGUGAAUACAGAGACAGGUCAUUAAGGAGCAGGUAGGGGUUAGACAGUGAAUACAGAGACAGGACAUUAAGGAGCAGGUAGGGGUUAGACAGUGAAUACAGAGACAGGUCAUUAAGGAGCAGGUAGGGGUUAGACAGUGAACACAGAGGCAGGGCAUUUGGUUGGGGUCAUCUCGUUCUAGGAUGCCUUGGGGAUCGAACCCCAAUGCCUCCAUUUCAGUUGGUAUUCGAACGCCCCAUUAGGCUGGUGUCAGACUGCCUGGAUAUUAAGUGAGAAUUCAGCAACAAGUUCAGCCUACACACACGCAGACGCACGCACGCACGCACGGCGCACGCAGG